AUAUAUAUAGGGUCAGGAUUUAGAGAAAAUGAUCUUGCAUCUAUUUGUACGGUUUGUGUCAAUUACAGGGUAAAUUCAUAUGGGACCAAUUUGACAACGUUAAAGAGUCGUCGAGAUUCGUUAUACUCGAAGUUGAGUGAAGUGCUUGUUGCUAAGAUAAGGAGGCUAAGGUUGAAAAGAUGGACGCUGAUUUGAAAGUCAGAUAUGAAUCAGCCAUGAACGUGAUGGCAAUUACAUCAGAACGCCAUCUGUUGUCAUCAAACAGAUAUGCAAAUUGUUUCCACAGCGCAAGGUAAGCGUGUUAUGCCUGUUUAUUAUUGCCGCUUGGGCUGAACAGCAGCAGCGCGAACUAAAUAUCCGUGUACGCCGUCUCUCUCGCUCAAAGGUUGGAUCCCGAUGAGGAAAGAAGAAUUCUUGCAAAAGAGAAAAAAGCGUCAAUUGAGAAUUAUACCAACACUUUGAAAAGGCAUACACUUGUGUUGAGGAAAAGGGAUUUAUUGAGAAAGAAAGCGGAGGAAGAGAAGAAAAAACUCCUGAUUACUCAGCUUCUAGCAGCCGAGGGUCUCGAGCUUGCAUCAGACAAGAUACUUUAUGUAUAUCUAUCAACUUCUUGUUGAAGGGCAGAAAUGUUUGUUUCCCUUCACCUUUUUCGAUUGAAAAACCAUUUUUACUACCUUUCUUUCUACUUGAGUACACGAUUAAACGCACGCUUUUUGGUCACUCCCUACAUAUCAUUCGAGGGUAUCUUGACAAUUAAUUGAAGGCGCUCUUGCCGGACAUAAUGCUAUAUAGUGC